rnacentral:lncRNA from 1 species
UCCCCUUUCACUUGCAGUCUCCCUCACUCCUUCACUCAACCUCAACCGAAGGAAAAUCCUAUCCUCCACUACUGCCGUACUCCCUUGCCAUUGUCGCUGUCCGUCGCAUGCAGCGUUGGCUUCAAUCUUCAUCCUGUGACCCUGUCGGUGUCUCCUAGUCUCCAGGACUUGGUCUCUUCUCCAUAUCCGUUGUCAUCAUCUACGCGCCGUCCUGCUCGUUGUCCUGCUACUCGUCUCUCUUGCCAUUCUGCUCGAAGGUAAGUGUUUGGGCAAAGGAUAAUUUUGUGGUGUGUUUGGAAGCUGAUGCUGAGAUUGUUCAUGCUCUGCUGAACUAUAGAUGCAGUUGUAUUGUGUGUUUUUUUCUUAUUCUUGAGCUGCUUGAAGGUCAAUGCUAUUGCUCAGUUCUUCAUCUUCAUUUUCUUUUUCAAAUGCUCCAUUCAGAAGGGAAAAAUAGAUCUAGCUUGGAAAGAAGGGGUGGAGAGGUCACGGGAGGAGGCGACGUGAAGGGUGAAGUCGUCGCUACUACCGCGGUGUUUAAGCUCGAAGAAGGCCGCCAGAACUAUUACCUCUGUUGUGCCUUGCCAUCAUGCUGGCACUGAUUUUCAUCUGCCCUCACUCUUGGUCUACUUCAAAAUCAUGCUAAAUUUAUGAGUGUCCUCCUUUUUGAAUGUGUUUUAAAUAAUAAGAUUAGACAUUGAUUUUUCUGAUUAUAAUUUUGGUCUGAAUAUUUAGUAAUAUUGAGCAUUUAAUUUUGCUUAUUAUUAUCAUUU